rnacentral:rRNA from 1 species
CCUACGGGUGGCAGCAGUGGGGAAUAUUGGACAAUGGGGGGAACCCUGAUCCAGCCAUGCCGCGUGUGUGAAGAAGGCCCUCGGGUUGUAAAGCACUCUCAGUGAGGAAGAACGCCUGGUGGUUAAUACCCAUCAGGAAAGACAUCACUCACAGAAGAAGCACCGGCUAACUCCGUGCCAGCAGCCGCGGUAAUACGGAGGGUGCGAGCGUUAAUCGGAAUUACUGGGCGUAAAGCGCGCGUAGAUGGCUUGAUAAGCCGGUUGUGAAAGCCCCGGGCUCAACCUGGGAACGGCAUCCGGAACUGUCAAGCUAGAGUGCAGGAGAGGAAGGUAGAAUUCCCGGUGUAGCGGUGAAAUGCGUAGAGAUCGGGAGGAAUACCAGUGGCGAAGGCGGCCUUCUGGACUGACACUGACACUGAGGUGCGAAAGCGUGGGUAGCAAACAGGAUUAGAUACCCUAGUAGUC